GCUUUAAGAUCUGAAGGCGGGACGAGCGCUGUGAUUGGCUAGUUCGAAGCUUACUCGAGCUUUACCCGAUAUUAGCCCCGCCCACUUUACAUGGAAGGGGAGAAACUGUGGAUAAGUACAUGAAGACUUUAAAAGUUCCUGAUUAAUCGGAAUUUUAUACUUCGAGGGGUUUUUAUUAGUUUAGUUUCCUGUUGGUUUCUCUUUAAGGGGAAGUGAGCGAGUGAGCAAGUGAGCGAGUGGUCGAGGGUGUGUCUGAGAGCGAGAGAAAGUUGCUGCUUUUCUGUGAGGAGGACGAGAGGGCGAGAGGAGGAACGAUGUGUGUGUGUGUGUGUGUGUGUGUGUGUGUGUGUGUGUGUGUGUGUGUAAAAAUGGACAAGGCCACUAUCACAGCACCUUAUAAGGCAGUGUUUCUCCCUACUGCUCACACACACACACACACACACAAUAAGUGAGGGAAUGAGGGAGUGAGGGGGAAGGGAGAUAAAGAGAAUGAGGGAAGGAGGAGAGUCAGAAAAAAGAGCGAGAACUGUGGUGGAAGGACGGAAAGAUGGAGGAAAAAUAAAAAGGUAUAAAGGAGAGGAAGAAAGAGGGAAUAGCAAGAAUAGAGCAUAGAAAAAGAUAGGAAAAGCUGUAAAAAGAAAUGAAACAAGGUAGAAAGGAGAGAAAGAAUAAGAACAUAGAGAGAAAAAGAAUAGAGAGAAAAAAGUAAAGAGAGAGAGAGAAGGAAUAGAGAAGGGGGACAAGGAGAAAAAAAAGAUGGAGAAAGAUGGAGAGGGACACAGAGAGGCACAGAAAGAGAGAGAGAGAGAGAGAGAGAGAGACAAAGAAAGAAGAGACAGAAAAACAGAGAAACAGCAAGACAGAGAAAGAGAGAGAGAGAGUGAGAGAGAGAAAAGGGGAAACUGGUGGGUGGACAUUAAUUGACCAGAUUAAUGUUCCAUAGAGAUGUGCAUCAGGGAAAAGUCACAAAGACCCCAAAGCAUCGAAUUUCUUGUAGCGAGUCGUCCAAAGCCAGGAUUUCUGUUCUGGAGCGUCUGAGACGGAACCUGAUGUUAACAGCGCACGGUGUAUGGAUCGUUAGCGAGCCCAUUCCCCGCCCCUGAGCUAUACCUGCUUUACCAAGGUCGAUAUCACGCUAACAGUCCAUGAUCAAAUCUGUGUCUGUGCCUGCCACACACACACACACACACACACACGGAGAGAGAAACUGCACAGUAAGACACUCUUUUAUUCACAGAGUGAUCUACAGCUCAGUCUGUAAAGUCUCGCACACGCAGCUCAGCACUUUCACUCCUCCGAGCUCAACAGAGCCGUCAUGGUUCAGUGAGAAACGCUUAUUCAGCUCAUUCGACACAAGACAUAGCGUGAGAGAGAGAGAGAGUGAGAGAGACACACACACACACACACACACACACACACACACUUCACUGCGAGCUGAAUAUGAUUAAGCACUAAAUUUACCCUGGGGCUAAUUAAAUAAUUAGAUAAUUUCCCUGACAUUCAUCCCGAUUUCCCCUUUAAUAUCGUUAAGGAUUAGAUUGGACCGCUUGCUCUUCAGAUCAGAUCAGACGGCAUGCUUGCUUCUUUAGUUUUUCCACUAGAGCUACGAAGAGCUACGAAGCGGAGAGCGCCCUCUAGAGGAGAAAUAAAUAUGAUCGCUGGCUAAUUUUGCCGUGUUAUUUCAAGUGUUUGAUUCAUUUCGGACAUCUCUAUUUUCGGUUGCUGUUUGGAGUGUUAGUUUUCGGUUCAGUUUGAAUGUAUAGAUCUUUCAUCGACUUUAAUAUCUAUUAAUAGUUGAUUUGUAUGUAUAUUAAUAUUGAUAUAUUUAUUUCAUUUAAAAGAGCACAGUACAUUUUCACGGUACAGUCAGUAGUUUAUUUCUGUAAUAAAGUUCAGUAAUAUUUUACUCUGAGCGUUAUGUUUUCAUUCAGUGUCCGUGUUAAAGACUAUCGGUCGAUGAAUCGGUUAUCGGCAGGCAGAUACCGACCGACUCAGUUAUCGGUAAAACCCACCAUCGGUCCGUCUCUAGCAUCAUGCAGCUGGAGUCGGGUCGGAUGUGUGGCCCAAACACACGCGAUAAUGUAGUUUACAUUGCGGGUGUCCGAUAUGACCAUAAAAA